rnacentral:rRNA from 1 species
GACGAACGCUGGCGGCGUGCCUAAUACAUGCAAGUAGAACGCUGAAGCUUGGUGCUUGCACCGAGCGGAUGAGUUGCGAACGGGUGAGUAACGCGUAGGUAACCUGCCUGGUAGCGGGGGAUAACUAUUGGAAACGAUAGCUAAUACCGCAUAACAGUAGAUAUCGCAUGAUAGCUACUUGAAAGGUGCAAAUGCACCACUACCAGAUGGACCUGCGUUGUAUUAGCUAGUUGGUGAGGUAACGGCUCACCAAGGCAACGAUACAUAGCCGACCUGAGAGGGUGAUCGGCCACACUGGGACUGAGACACGGCCCAGACUCCUACGGGAGGCAGCAGUAGGGAAUCUUCGGCAAUGGACGGAAGUCUGACCGAGCAACGCCGCGUGAGUGAAGAAGGGUUUCGGAUCGUAAAGCUCUGUUGUAAGAGAAGAACGAGUGUGAGAGUGGAAAGUUCACACUGUGACGGUAUCUGACCAGAAAGGGACGGCUAACUACGUG